GAUGAACGCUGGCGGCGUGCUUAACACAUGCAAGUCGAACGGAAAGGCCCAAGCUUGCUUGUGUACUCGAGUGGCGAACGGGUGAGUAACACGUGGGUGAUCUGCCCUGCACUUCGGGAUAAGCCUGGGAAACUGGGUCUAAUACCGGAUAGGACGAUGGUUUGGAUGCCAUUGUGGAAAGUUUUUUCGGUGUGGGAUGAGCUCGCGGCCUAUCAGCUUGUUGAUGGGGUAAUGGCCUACCCAGGCGUCGACGGGGAGCCGGCCUAGUAGGGUGUACGGCCGCAUUGGAACUGAGAGACGGCCCAGAGUCCUACAGGAGGCAGCAGUGGGGAAUAUUGCACAAUGUGCGCAAGCGUGGUGCAGGGACGCCGCGUGGGGGAUGACGGCCUUCGUGGUGUAAACACCUUAGGCGAGGGACGAAGCGUUUCUGUGACGGUACCUAAAGAAGAAGCACCGGCUAACUACGUG
rnacentral:rRNA from 1 species